rnacentral:rRNA from 1 species
GUAACGAGCGCAACCCUUGUCCUUAGUUACCAGCACGUUAUGGUGGGCGACCCUAAGGAGACUGCCGGUGACAAACCGGAGGAAGGUGGGGAUGACGUCAAGUCAUCAUGGCCCUUACGGCCUGGGCUACACACGUGCUACAAUGGUCGGUACAAAGGGUUGCCAAGCCGCGAGGUGGAGCUAAUCCCAUAAAACCGAUCGUAGUCCGGAUCGCAGUCUGCAACUCGACUGCGUGAAGUCGGAAUCGCUAGUAAUCGUGAAUCAGAAUGUCACGGUGAAUACGUUCCCGGGCCUU